GACGAACGCUGGCGGCGUGCCUAAUACAUGCAAGUAGAACGCUGAAGGAGGAGCUUGCUUCUCUGGAUGAGUUGUGAACGGGUGAGUAACGCGUAGGUAACCUGCCUGGUAGCGGGGGAUAACUAUUGGAAACGAUAGCUAAUACCGCAUAACAGUAGAUAUCGCAUGAUAUCUACUUGAAAGGUGCAAUUGCAUCACUACCAGAUGGACCUGCGUUGUAUUAGCUAGUUGGUGAGGUAACGGCUCACCAAGGCGACGAUACAUAGCCGACCUGAGAGGGUGAUCGGCCACACUGGGACUGAGACACGGCCCAGACUCCUACGGGAGGCAGCAGUAGGGAAUCUUCGGCAAUGGACGGAAGUCUGACCGAGUAACGCCGCGUGAGUGAAGAAGGUUUUCGGAUCGUAAAGCUCUGUUGUAAGAGAAGAACGAGUGUGAGAGUGGAAAGUUCACACUGUGACGGUAUCUUACCAGAAAGGGACGGCUAACUACGUG
rnacentral:rRNA from 1 species